GUGGCUCACUUUGGCAGCACCUACUCUAAAAUUGGAAUGAUAAAGAGAUUAUUAUGGCCCCUGCACAAGAAUGACAUGCAACUCUGUGAAGCGUUCCAUAAAACA
rnacentral:snRNA from 1 species